UGGAGGGCAAGUCUGGUGCCAGCAGCCGCGGUAAUUCCAGCUCCAAUAGCGUAUAUUAAAGUUGUUGCAGUUAAAAAGCUCGUAGUUGAAUUUUGGGUCUGGCCGGGCGGUCCGCCCUCUGGGUGAGCACUGUUCCAACGUCGGGCCUAUCCUUCUGGUGAGUCGGCAUGUCCUUUAUUGGGUGUGUCGGGGAACCAGGACCAUUACCUUGAAAAAAUUAGAGUGUUCAAAGCAGGCGUAUGCUCGGAUACAUUAGCAUGGAAUAAUGAAAUAGGACGCGUGGUGCUAUUUUGUUGGUUUCUAGAACCGCCGUAAUGAUUAAUAGGGAUAGUUGGGGGCAUUAGUAUUCAAUUGUUAGAGGUGAAAUUCCUGGAUUUAUUGAAGACUAACUUCUGCGAAAGCAUUUGCCAAGGAUGUUUUCAUUAAUCAAGAACGAAAGUUAGGGGAUCGAAGACGAUCAGAUACCGUCGUAGUCUUAACCAUAAACUAUGCCGACUAGGAAUCGGGCGAUGUUAUUCUCAUGACUCGCCCGGCGCCUUAUGGGAAAC
rnacentral:rRNA from 1 species